AACCAAUUCUCUGGGUAAAUACAAAACUGAGGCUCAUGACUUCCCAAAUUCACAGGAUGGCUGGAAAGGCAGUGCGGGGCUGAGGUGCCAGGUGUCCCUGGUGGGACAUCUCACUGCCCACGUUUCUGCAGGAAGUUAUUUUUCCAUCAGAGUGCUGUUUUGCAUGGAAGUGUUUGGAGAACUAGUCACCUGCCCCCCUUCCACACAUACCUUAGGCGAUCAGUUCAGAACUGGGUACGUGACCCACUUUGGACGAGAGUCCUUUCCUAGGCAUUUGGAACUGGGCCUGAGAAGGAGAAAGCCUCCCACUCACUUAAGUUCAAUAGGAGAAAGAACUCAUGGUGAUGAGAUGGCUGCCACAGCUCCAGGCACCAUGACCACAAUCAAAGCCAGAACUGAAUCAUAUAGCUGCCCCAGCUGCUGGAGAGAUUGGGAAACUGAAUGUCUGGCAAAAGGACUGGCCCAAACCAGUUAUGAUCAGGCACUGGCUAAGCUCUGGGGACGUAAUGAUGAAUGAAACCAGAAUAAAGCUCUGCCCUCGUGGAGGGUACAGUCUGAGGGAGACGACUGGAGCUACUAAAGCCACCAUGACAGAGGAAAAAUUUUACUCUCAUGAUUCUGGCAAGGAGAGGGACAUGGUAGUCUUAGUCCAUAGUAUGGGAGUGAAAAGGCAAAAAUCCUGGUAUGUCUAAAGUAUGUGACAUGAGGUCCAGAGAAUGAGGGAGGGAGACAAGCAAAGAUCAUCACUCAGUAGCUUCAGGCCACAGCUCACCAGAAUCUCCACGUUCCUGGGUGAACUCAUUCCAACAGGCAUCGAGAAGGUCCCUUGGACCACAGCAUCCCCCAGGUGGGUGACCACUAUCUGACCAUCACCAGCAACCCAUCCAUGAGCCUUCUCUGCGGACUCACCACCUAUCCCAGGACUCUCCCCAAUCCAUGUUGCCUCGAUUCCCUGACCUGUAGCCCAUGUGAAUUCAACAAAAUUUCUUUCCUUGAGAUCCCUCAUAAAUGUGCCCAGUUUCUUGAGUCUGGUGGACAAGUUGCUUCUGUUCACUGGCCUUUCUGCUGGUAAAGCAGAAACUUCUUGUCCCAGGACUCAGUCCUUACCUGGGUGAAUCUGUAAAGGCUCAACAAACCCUCUUUUAUAGCAGAGAUCUCUCAGCCUCUAGAGUUUCUGAUCUGUCAGGAGCCAUAAUACAGGACUGGCCCUAGCAGUGGGGUCAGCAGUUUUCCCUGAGAAGGGAGCACCAGUUCUGACCCAAAUAUGCGCACACAGGCUGGCGUCUCUGCCUGAAUGGCUUCUCCCUCUCCUCGUCACCUCCCAUGAAACCCUGGAAGUGAUCUAUUUCUCCUUUAAGCUCCUGGGGAAAAUGUUCUUACCUGCCUUACUGGUUGACUACUUGGUCUGCUCACCCCUACUCCUUCCAGAAAACAUGGAAUGUCUCAUCUUUCCUUUAAAUAUGUAGCAUCCUAAUGGUUCUCUUGCACCUAGCAAACAUUCAACACUUUAAACUAUAUUUUAUAGAUGUUUACUGUCAUAUAGUUUCAAAAAAGAUGUGAGAGCUUACAUAGUUGUGUGUGUGUGUGUGUGUGUGUGUGUGGUGUGCAUGUACCUGUGUGACAUUUCCACAAGUCCAGACACCCAGAACCUUGGAUUUCUGUCCAUAAGCUGGCGUUUUAAAAAAUCUAU